GGUGGAUUAGUGGCGAACGGGUGAGUAACACGUGGGCAAUCUGCCCUGCACUCUGGGACAAGCCCUGGAAACGGGGUCUAAUACCGGAUACGAGCCUCCGACGCAUCUUCCUGGUUGGAAAGCUCCGGCGGUGCAGGAUGAGCCCGCGGCCUAUCAGCUUGUUGGUGAGGUAAUGGCUCACCAAGGCGACGACGGGUAGCCGGCCUGAGAGGGCGACCGGCCACACUGGGACUGAGACACGGCCCAGACUCCUACGGGAGGCAGCAGUGGGGAAUAUUGCACAAUGGGCGCAAGCCUGAUGCAGCGACGCCGCGUGAGGGAUGACGGCCUUCGGGUUGUAAACCUCUUUCAGCAGGGAAGAAGCGGAAGUGACGGUACCUGCAGAAGAAGCGCCGGCUAACUACGUGCCAGCAGCCGCGGUAAUACGUAGGGCGCAAGCGUUGUCCGGAAUUAUUGGGCGUAAAGAGCUCGUAGGCGGCUUGUCGCGUCGGUUGUGAAAGCCCGGGGCUUAACUCCGGGUCUGCAGUCGAUACGGGCAGGCUAGAGUUCGGUAGGGGAGAUCGGAAUUCCUGGUGUAGCGGUGAAAUGCGCAGAUAUCAGGAGGAACACCGGUGGCGAAGGCGGAUCUCUGGGCCGAUACUGACGCUGAGGAGCGAAAGCGUGGGGAGCGAACAGGAUUAGAUACCCUGGUAGUCCACGCCGUAAACGGUGGGCACUAGGUGUGGGCAGCAUUCCACGUUGUCCGUGCCGCAGCUAACGCAUUAAGUGCCCCGCCUGGGGAGUACGGCCGCAAGGCUAAA
rnacentral:rRNA from 1 species